CGCCAGCCACACGGGAAUCUGAGGAACACGUCCCGACUCUACGGGAGGCAGGCAGCAAGAAUUCUUCCGCAAUUGGGCGAAAGCCUGACGGAGGCAACGCCCGCGUGUGGGAUGACGCCUUCGGGGGUGUAAACCACUUUUCUCAGGGAAGAAGCACUGACGGUACCUGAGAAGAAGGACCGGCUAACUACGUGCCAGCAGCCGCGGUAAUACGUAGGGUCCGAGCGUUGUCCGGAGUUACUGGGCGUAAAGCGCACGUAGGCGGCCUGUUAAGUGAGUAGUGAAAUCUCCAGCGCUCAACGCGGAAAUAGCUUCUCAUACUGGCAGGCUUGAGGGAUGCAGAGGUAAGUGGAAUUCCCGGUGUAACGGUGACAUGUGUUGAUAUCGGGAGGAACACCCAUGGCGAAGGCAGCUUACUGGGCAUUUCCUGACGCUGAGGUGCGAAAGCGUGGGUAGCAAACAGAAUUAGAUACUCUGGUAGUCCACGCCCUAAACGAUGGAUACUAGGCGUAAGAGGUAUCGACCCCUCUUGUGCCGCAGCUAACGCAUUAAGUAUCCCGCCUGGGGAGUACGGCCGCAAGGUUGAAACUCAAAUGAAUUGACGGGGACCCGCACAAGCGGUGGAGCAUGUGGAUUAAUUCGAUACUAACCGAAGAACCUUACCUAGGC
rnacentral:rRNA from 1 species